GUUAAAACUCAAAUGAAUUGACGGGGGCCCGCACAAGCGGUGGAGCAUGUGGUUUAAUUCGAUGCAACGCGAAGAACCUUACCUGGUCUUGACAUCCACAGAACUUUCCAGAGAUGGAUUGGUGCCUUCGGGAACUGUGAGACAGGUGCUGCAUGGCUGUCGUCAGCUCGUGUUGUGAAAUGUUGGGUUAAGUCCCGCAACGAGCGCAACCCUUAUCCUUUGUUGCCAGCGGUCCGGCCGGGAACUCAAAGGAGACUGCCAGUGAUAAACUGGAGGAAGGUGGGGAUGACGUCAAGUCAUCAUGGCCCUUACGACCAGGGCUACACACGUGCUACAAUGGCGCAUACAAAGAGAAGCGACCUCGCGAGAGCAAGCGGACCUCAUAAAGUGCGUCGUAGUCCGGAUUGGAGUCUGCAACUCGACUCCAUGAAGUCGGAAUCGCUAGUAAUCGUGGAUCAGAAUGCCACGGUGAAUACGUUCCCGGGCCUUGUACACACCGCCCGUCACACCAUGGGAGUGGGUUGCAAAAGAAGUAGGUAGCUUAACCUUCGGGAGGGCGCUUACCACUUUGUGAUUCAUGACUGGGGUGAAGUCGUAACAAGGUAACCGUAGGGGAACCUGCGGUUGGAUCAC
rnacentral:rRNA from 1 species